rnacentral:misc_RNA from 1 species
AUUAAAGCAAAAAUAAAAAGGUGACCUUAAUAAUUAAUUACAAGACACAGAUUACAGAGGGAUCACAGCAACACUCAUCUAACAGGCAGCAACAACACAGAGCUGCUAGACAUCCUUCAAGAAAACCUCUAUUUUUCUGAGGAGGAGGAGGAGCAGCAUAUGUUGGUGGUGCCAUCACAGGAGGAGGACCACCUUGAUAAUACCCUUGACCUUGAGAGGGAUAUGGAUAACCAUAUUUUGGUGGUUCAUUCAUCAUGUUUUGAAAAUUAGUAACUCAACAGAGAAAAUUAAAGAAGAG